rnacentral:pre_miRNA from 1 species
UCAUAUCGAUGAGCACAGAAAGUGGUUUCUUGAGAUGGAAUCUGCUCCUGGUGAAGAUAUUGUAAA